rnacentral:tRNA from 1 species
GGAGAGAUGGCCGAGUGGUUUAAGGCGCCUGUCUUGAAAACAGGUAUGGGGAAAUCUCAUCGUGGGUUCGAAUCCCUCUCUCUCCG